CGGGGUAUGGCGCAGUCAGGUAGCGCGCGGCGUUCGGGACGCUGAGGUCGUCCGUUCGAUUCGGAUUACCCCGACCA
rnacentral:tRNA from 1 species